rnacentral:lncRNA from 1 species
GACUUGUGAAGUAUUAAUUCAAUAUCACCCUAGGCUUUUCCAGACUAUUAUUCAAAUGACACCAAAUGAAGACCUCCGAGAAAACAUGUUAUGGCAAGUUCUGGAGCAUUUGUCUCAGCAAAGUGAAAGCCAGUAUCUAAAGAUUUUAACAAGCCUUGCUGAAGUUGCCACAACAAAUGGUCAUAAACUACUAAGGUAAGUGUUUCGGCAAAUCAAUAGGGAACAAUAUCUGUCUGCUUCAUUUCCUGAAUAGUUUAUUCUCUUACAUGGCUUUUGUCAGUGGUAAGAUAUUAUAAAAAUUUGCUGACUUAUCAUUGUUUUAUUUAGUAUAUGUGCUGCCGAAGUGAGCACAUAUCAUUGUUUUAUUUAAAAGGAACAGGGUAAUCAACUCUUAGGACAGAGACUUUAAUCAUGCUAAAGAAACCAGAGCAUACUUAAAUUAAUGUAGCAUGUAUGUUUGGA